rnacentral:rRNA from 1 species
UACGAAGGGGCUAGCGUUGCUCGGAAUCACUGGGCGUAAAGCGCACGUAGGCGGAUUGUUAAGUCGGGGGUGAAAUCCUGGAGCUCAACUCCAGAACUGCCUUCGAUACUGCGGGUCUCGAGUCCGGGAGAGGUGAGUGGAAUUCCGUAGUGUAGAGGUGAAAUUCGUAGAUAUUAGGAAGAACACCAGUGGCGAAGGCGGCUCACUGGCCCGGUACUGACGCUGAGGCGCGAAAGCGUGGGAGCAACAGGAUAAG